rnacentral:rRNA from 1 species
ACAUGCUUACAACAUAGCGUUAAUGCACCGGAUCCCAUUGGAACUCUGCAGUUAAGCAUGCUCGGGCUAGAGUAGUACUAGGAUGGGUGACUUCUCGGGAAGUCUUAGUAUUUUACAUGCC